rnacentral:sRNA from 1 species
GGAAAGUGAGUGUGAAGAGGGGAUAUACAUACAUGUAUACGUAUAUGAAUUUAAAACUACAGUGAUAUAGCUAUGGCCGGUAUUGAUACUCUCUUUAAAAGAAUGGAGAGUGUCAGAAUAUAUGAUAUUCAUAUAAGUUAUGGCAGAUAUAAACUUCUACAUUACUUUACUGAAGGUUUUGUUCAAAAGCUGUUUAAUUGCUUUUAGAGUACUCAGUGUAUUAGCAUAUCUACGAAACAUUUUGUUGUUUUGCUAUGUUUUAUGCCAAAUCGUAUCCCUCCACAUUUAUUUACGCGAUUGUCUCCCUUGUGUUCAAUGUCUUGCCAAUGUAUUUUUUUUUAUCCGUACAUCAAUUUAAGCAUGGAUUUUGUACAAUUCUCCAUUAGAUUUGAAACAUCAAUUCUAUGUAUCAUUUUUCCCUUCUAAUGGUCAUUUUUCAGACAUUCAUGCAAAUUUUCUGCUCCUUGUAUCAUCCAUUAAUUAAUGAGGCUUCGUUUAUGUAGAUGAGCAUCAAAGACGUGCUAAAAAACUCAAUGCUUUGCUUUUUUUCAAGUGCUAAAAUAGAGAUAUAGAAAACAAAUUAACUUACUGCCUUAUAUUAAAAUAACCUGUCUUAGCAUUUAGCAAUAAUAUCACCCUGCACUGUUUUUAAUUACGUGCAUGUAUGUAGCUUAUAUUACAUAUAUAUGUUGUACUAGUAAUAGAUUGCUUGAUGGAAUCGAUGUACACCUUUUAACUGCAAUAAUCUGCUGUGGAAGCUAUAUCAUUGUAGAAAGUCCAUCAACACCAUGAAAGUUGUGAUAGUCAAUACAUUCAUCAUUUUUAUUUGGUCAAUAUUCAAUAUUUAUAAUUUAUGCUUGGCUCUUUUUUAACAACUUCCCCUUAAUGUGUGUAAAUACUAAUGUUUAUCUCGAGUGUAUAUAUAUAUGUUUACGGGGUAAACUCUUUAGCUUAUUCCCUUGUUGCUAUAUUUUAAGAUCCAUGUACUUAUUGUCUCCCAGUGAGGAUUUUGUAUAUGAAGAUAAAACAAACCUCUUGAAAUAUUUCAGUUCAGCUUUUAAAUAACGGAUGGAAAAAGCAAAUCGUACAAUGACAUAUGUUAAAAAGUUGUAUGAUUUAAAGCAAGAGAAAAAAAAAAGACCCUUGUUUGAACGGAGAGGUUUUGAGAUGUUUAAGACAUUUUAUUAUGUGAAGCGAAAGUUAAGUAGAUUAGUAUUUUGUUGAUGUCAUGACGAUAGUUUACAAUUAUUGGUCUUUCAGUAUUUUUGUUAUUUGUGAUUUUUAUUGUUUUUGCUGUAUAAUGGCUUAUUUAUACAACAGGAACUAAAUUACAUGAUACAUGUAUAUGGGUAUUGAUUUCAGUUCUUGGACUGAUAAAGACUUAUCGUGAUGUUCAAGAUAAUUUGAGACGGACGAUGGAGAGACAUUUUACGUUGUUUUUAUUAGUUGUAGUACGUCUUUCAUGUAUUUUAUUUUAUAAGUGGUGGCUUUGCCUCAUCGCACCAUUUUAUUUGAAAUUCCAGAAUGUUUUUUAAGAAUUUUGUACAUAUGCCAAUGUACAUGUAAAUAUCUAGGAACUUGUAUGAAAUUUUUCAAAAACAUUUCAAAAGAACAAUUGUGAUAUACAGAUUUUAAUGAAGAAAGAAAGAUCAAUAUUUAUAACUUAAAGACGACCAUUUCAGGAUUCAUAUGUAUUUUGGUUAUGGAGAGUAUAAACCAAUCUCGGAUCCUGCACUCGAUGGAUGAAUUUUUCUCUCUAGUCUUUCAUUGGCUUGAGAUCCACUUGUGUUCUUCUGUAGUACGUGUACCUUAGUAUUACCUCAGAACUCGAAGUAUGACUGGCAGGUGUACAUUGUAUGAAAGAAAUAAAUGAUUUCAUAUUUAU